UGAAAAUCCCAUGCUGCAGGCUGAGCUGGAGGGAGCAUCGUGAGUGGCUCAGACCCAGACCUUCAAGGCAAGGGACAGACACCGUCUUGCUUGGUUUGCGGUGGAAUAUCUGGAAAAAGCAUUGGUUACAUUUUUUGUAACCCUCGGCUAAUGAGUCCCAGUCGGUGGAGGCUGAGUUAAACACCACACAGGCAGCAGACCAUCAGCUCGCUUCUCAUGAAUGCAAAGAUGUCAUGGAAUCAGGCUCCAGAUUAUUGCAUCACUUGCUAAGGUCUGUGAAGUACUCUGACUGUGACUCACAACCGAGGACUUGUGGAAUAGUGACUGGGCCACGCGACUGCACUCUCUAAGCUUUUGCUUUGCCAAGUCAUUCUGAAUCUAAUGAUCUUCGGGUGAUUCCCCAGACUGAGGAGGAAGCAACAGCAGCUGUGCGUUGGACUUACAGAAAGAAUGGUUGAAGAUUGCAGUGUAUUUUGAGUUUCUGCUUUGGAGGGGAGAGUUGGUCCUGAUGCCCGCAGACAAAUGACCGCCUGGUUGCAGUUAAAGGUCAGCCCAAGAAUUAUUUCAUACCACAACACCCAAAACCCAUAUCAACUGCCAUCAUCAAACAGAGAAAAAGACCCUAAGAAGCUUGGUGAGUGA
rnacentral:lncRNA from 1 species